AUUUUAUAUAUGCAUUAAUUUGUGGCUGAUUAUAAAUGGUCCACUGAUAUUUUUGGUUUACUACAUAAGGAAAGAUUUUUUGUCACCGAGUGUUGCUAAAGCAUUGCUGGAAAAGGAGAGUUUGGCAAAGGCCUAGCAAGAUGAAGAAGAACAAGCACGAUUGAGAGCAUCAGCCUUUGUUAUACCUCGUGUGGAAGAUACCGAUACAUAUGGAACAGCAGGUUCUAUCGAAGAAACUUUAGAUGGGGAAACGUCUGGACGAUGAGGAAAAGGAAAAGAUGAUGAGAGAAGCAGAAGUGUUUAAGGCAUGCUGACCUUGUCAGAAAGAUUGAGAAGAAGCUUGCUUUCGUAAGUUUUGUCCAAUAAAUUGUCUUUUGGUUCACUUAUUUUUUGUUCAUUUUUAAGAGCUUUUCAUUUAUUGAAUUUGUCUCCCUAAAAUAUUGUUGACUUGAAAUUUCUGUCACAAGUGGAGAGAAAGCUAGUGAAAGCUGAACAAGCGUCGUCGAAGGUUGAAGAGUGUUUAAAUCCAGCAGAUCAGCCAGCAGACGCACAAAGCAUUACUGAUGAGGAAAGGUUCAUGUUUCGGAAGCUUGGAUUAAGGAUGAAAGCCUUUUUACGUAAUCCUUCCCCAUUUCUUCUUAGCUUGAACAACCAUCGAUACAAUGGAAGGAUUAGAACUACAGUGGAUUACUACCUAGCUAGAAGGAUACACAAAAAUGAAAUUUAUCAUUUAUCAUUUUCGAUUUUAUCAUGUUUGCUGGUUUACCCACAUGCUUGUUUGACAUGAACGAUUGAAUAACGCCACAACAAUGUAACAGAUUGUGAAAG
rnacentral:lncRNA from 1 species